AUAAAAAUCAUCUGGUCACCUGUUUAAAAUGCAGAUUCAGAUUCAGAUUCAGUAGGUUGGAACCUGAGAUUCUGCAUACCUAAAUAGUUCCCAGGUAUUGAAAAU
rnacentral:pre_miRNA from 1 species